CCCUCCCCCGCGCUCCGGCCGUCUCCCUCCCCUGCGCUCCGGCCACCUCCCUCCCCCGCGCUCCGGCCAUCUCCCUACCUCGCGCUCCGGCCUCAUCCCUCCCCGCGCUUCGGAUGCCUCCCUCCGAGAUCCGACUGCCUUCCCCCUGAGGUCCCAUGGAAGCACCGCCGCCGCCCAACCCCUCCUUCCGCAAGGUAGCGCUCUGGGCCGCCCUCCUUGCCGCGGUAGCCCUGCUGGCCGUUGGCGGCGGACGCUGGGUGGCGGGUGCUGUCAUGCUUCUUCUCCGGCGAGGACGCCGUGCUAUGCCGGCGCCGCCACACAUCUCCGGUUCUCACUGGUGGCAGCUUCGUCCUCUUUUAAACUGAAGUUUUCAUUCAGGUAGUACAUCCACAACAGCUAGUAUAGAAUGGAGAGUAGUGGAUACAACUACCUAGUAGAAUACUACAGGGAAGAAGGGACGUUCGAUGCUACUAGAUUGUGGACAGAGGAGUUAAAUUAAGCCCCUCACUUCGUUUCUACAAAUUAGGGGAGCUAGAUCCCUGCUUCAGUAUAUGACUUGUACAAGAAUACAUACACUAAGUGUAGCAGUUCACUAUGUAUUUAUAUCAUCAGUUCGUUAACAAAUCAAAAGAAAAAGUUUUUGUGCGUGUGA